rnacentral:sRNA from 1 species
GCUUUCAACAUCCCCGUCCGCUGCCCGGCCAGAAAUCUGGCAGGGUGAGCCGGGCUGAAGGC